rnacentral:rRNA from 1 species
CGAAAGCCUGACGGAGCAAUACCGCGUGAGGGAGGAAGGCUUUUGGGUUGCAAACCUCUUUUCUCAGGGAAGAAGUUCUGACGGUACCUGAGGAAAAAGCAUCGGCUAACUCCGUGCCAGCAGCCGCGGUAAGACGGAGGAUGCAAGCGUUAUCCGGAAUUAUUGGGCGUAAAGCGUCCGCAGGUGGCUUUUCAAGUCUGCAGUCAAAGACUGGAGCUUAACUCCAUAGAGGCAGUGGAAACUGGAUGACUUGAGUGCGGUAGGGGUCGAGGGAAUUCCCAGUGUAGCGGUGAAAUGCGUAGAUAUUGGGAAGAACACCAGUGGCGAAAGCGCUCGACUGGGCCUGCACUGACACUGAGGGACGAAAGCUAGGGGAGCG